GCCAGAUGAAGCUAGCUGGCUGCUUAUAUCGUUAGCUUUGGGCAAAAGGGUUAAGUAGCUGGAUAGCUAUUUAUUUUCAUGAACCUAAGUUCAGUUCCAAUUGGCGAACAACAAGUGGCUACCCAGCUAAUACUUACAAGGAUUCCUAAAUCAUUGUUAAGAAUAAUGAAAAUUACUGCAGUUUCUACUGGUCAUAGUUUUCUGGCUGGUUGUAUUUGUGCUAGCUAGGUACCAAGCUAAAGCUAGUUAUCCCAAACACCGCUUCCCAUUAAUUUCAAUGGUGGGAGGCGGUGAAAAAGUUCAACUUUACGCAAAUCACCAGAGACGACCACUGGGCGAUGACCAAUCAUAUCGAGUGGUUCGUCCCAUGACGAAUUUGACGCUAUGCGUCCCAAGGCUAGAGACGUUCUUCAGCAAAGAUGGCUGACAAAAAUACUAGGACGGAAGCAAAUGGACUCCUGAAACAACCCGCAAACCAGGCUGUCGUCUUGUGAAACAGUGGAUGUAAAGAAUCUAGUAGCUAGCUAAAGCAUUUACUGCAAAUUGAAUGUAAAAUUUGUUCAGCUUGCCUUGCUGAUAUUUGCCAUGCAAUGGAGAUAGCUAGCUACGUUCUUGCUUAUUGUGCAGUGGAGGAUAAAAAAAAUACCUGUAUAUGCCUAUGGAUGUGUAGCUAGCUAUCUAGCCGAUCUGUGUAUGGACCCAAACGUUUGGUAUACAUAUUUGUUCAGAACCAAGCUAUCAUAGCCAUUUGUAUUAACUUCAAAACCGUCAAUGACAUUAAUGAAGCCUAAGGAUUCAGUAGAAUAUAACUUUGUGCCAAGGAUGCAAGUCGUAUAUACAUGUAGUUAUUACCAUGCAUGAGAUCCCCACAUUGUAGCCUUAUAUUUAAUAUAUUCAAUGAUCAUGUACUCUACCGUGGCAAAUAAAGGUGCAGUUCAGGUAUGAAUGCCUGAUUAUUUUUCAGUCAUAUCCAAUACCAGGAGAUGAAAUUCCAGUCUUUGAAUGAUGCGUGUCUGCAUGUAUGUAUUACAAUUACACACUUCAACAGUGUUUACCAAUCUUGGUUCUGGGACAUCAAUGGUUACACAUUGUAACUAAGACUAGAAACAGGAUUUAACUUGUAAAUACUCUAAAACCCAUUCAUCUCAAUAUCUAAUGCCCUUCAUCUGCAUUGAUUUGAUAAACACAG
ensembl:lncRNA